UUGAGAACUGCUGGUUUGUAACUUUUUGUUGUUACAAAUAAUGGCCCAGUAAGUACCUUUAUAUGUGUUUCUUUGUGUACGAGAGAGUUUCUCUAAGAUUUAUACCCUCAAAAUGACGGAUAAUUGCUUUUCAAAUUGAAGCUUUGUAAAUGGCAGCUCCAAAGGGGUAUGCUGCCCAGGAAAAAAAGACUGUGGCUCAUUCUUACCCAAAGCGAUUUUCUUGUCAGAGAGAACUAGAAAAAGUCAGAAGAUUUCUCUGGGCCUGUGAACUGUGAGCAAAGCGUUAGGAAGUUUUCCUGUGGGCUGGGAGUGACAUACAAGCAGGGCACAGAGGUGCAAAUUUGAACAGGUAAGAACUGAGAGCCAGGUUUCCCUUCCCUGCGGCUUGAUGCCACGUGACUGUGGGGAUGGGGGGUUGCAGUGAAAUGCAAUGGUUGCUGGCCUGCACCUAUUACUGCUUUUUCCAUUCUGAGGGAACCUGAAUUUCAGUCAGGUGUCACCUCCUCUCCUGUCCCUGCAAAGCCCAUGUGCUUCAGUUCUAGGCCUAAAGGGAGUAAAGAUAAUCCUCUGUGGACCCAGCUGCUCUAGAAAUGGACAGUGAACUCCUUCUGGGCCAGUAGGAGACUGGAAGAGAGAUGUCCUGGGGAGCUCUAAGAAAGUGGUUUCUACUUCUCCAGAACUUCUAAAGAGUUGGUUUUUUCUCUUUUGAACUUGGCAAUUGCCGCAGAGUGUGGAUAAAACUGGCAUGUGGAGUGAGGCAGAACCCAAGGAAUAAGGCAGAACCCAAAGAAUUGGCGUGAAAAUGAGCUGGAGGCCUUGCCUCGCUCUGCUUCUGGUGGGCCUUGUCAAAAACGUCAUUUGAAAAUCAGCUCUUGGAGAUAUUUCUUUUGAAGCUGAUCCAAACUUGGAAAGGAGUAUGACAAUUCACCAGGACAAAGAAAAGACGCUGAGUACUCACCGUAAGUUAUAGCUUGUUAAGCGUGAAAACCAGAAGCUCACAGGCUAAUCGACCUGCCUAAGGUGAGACAGCUCUUACGCGGGAACCUAGGACCCACACCCACAUCGGCUUGAUGCCGAAGCCCCAGUUCUCAGUCACUGCAACAAACCCUGGGUGGACAACAGAGACUGGACCUCACUUUGAUUUAGGAAACAACUAAACUAGUUCGUCUCAAGCACAGUGUGAAAAGGCUCCCUGAAAGUCUAUGCAUAAUGAAGAGAAAUUCGAUCAUGACGAAGGAAGCUCUGCCUGUUUCUCUGUCCUCAUCCUUUUUUGCAGGGCGCCCCCUACCGGAAGCCUUUGGCCUGCCAAGGAAACCAGUUUACCACGGUUCUCGGAGACAAGCCUCCAGUGCUGUCCCCAACAACAUCAAGCUACAGAGGGCAGAGAGAAGGGAGAGGAAGACGUCACGGUCAACAUCCUAAUGGAGAAAUUCCAACAGCUGGUAUUGGCAAACUGAGGGGACCUCUCAAUCUAAACAUAUAUAUUCUAAUCGAAUUUUCUAUAUAUUUUACCUGUUGCCUUGUCUGGACUGAAUUUUUU